rnacentral:rRNA from 1 species
AGGGAUGCCCAGUAACGGCGAGUGAAGCGGCAACAGCCUCAAAUUUGAAAUCUGGCCCCCGGGCCCGAGUUGUAAUUUGCAGAGGAUGCUUUUGGCGCGGUGCCUUCCGAGUUCCCUGGAACGGGACGCCAUAGAGGGUGAGAGCCCCGUACGGUUGGACACCAAGCCUUUGUAAAGCUCCUUCGACGAGUCGAGUAGUUUGGGAAUGCUGCUCAAAAUGGGAGGUAUAUUUCUUCUAAAGCUAAAUACCGGCCAGAGACCGAUAGCGCACAAGUAGAGUGAUCGAAAGAUGAAAAGCACUUUGAAAAGAGGGUUAAACAGCACGUGAAAUUGUUAAAAGGGAAGCGCUUGUGACCAGACUUGCGCCCGGUGAAUCACCCAGCUCUCGCGGCUGGGGCACUUUGCCGGCUCAGGCCAGCAUCAGCUCGCCGUCGGGGACAAAAGCUUCGGGAACGUAGCUCUCUUCGGGGAGUGUUAUAGCCCGUUGCACAAUACCCUUCGGCGGGCUGAGGUACGCGCUCCGCAAGGAUGCUGGCGUAAUGGUCAUCAGCGACCCGUCUUGAAACACGGACCAAGGAGUCAACCUUAUGUGCGAGUGUUUGGGUGUCAAACCCCUACGCGUAAUGAAAGUGAACGCAGGUGAGAGCUUCGGCGCAUCAUCGACCGAUCCUGAUGUUCUCGGAUGGAUUUGAGUAAGAGCAUAUAGGGUUGGACCCGAAAGAAGGUGAACUAUGCGUGUAUAGGGUGAAGCCAGAGGAAACUCUGGUGGAGGCUCGCAGCGGUUCUGACGUGCAAAUCGAUCGUCAAAUAUGCGCAUGGGGCGAAAGACUAAUC